rnacentral:rRNA from 1 species
UUGAACGCUGGCGGCAUGCCUUACACAUGCAAGUCGAACGGUAACGGGCCUUCGGGUGCCGACGAGUGGCGAACGGGUGAGUAAUACAUCGGAACGUGCCCGAUCGUGGGGGAUAACGAGGCGAAGGCUUUGCUAAUACCGCAUACGAUCUACGGAUGAAAGCAGGGGACCGCAAGGCCUUGCGCGGACGGAGCGGCCGAUGGCAGAUUAGGUAGUUGGUGGGAUAAAAGCUUACCAAGCCGACGAUCUGUAGCUGGUCUGAGAGGAUGAUCAGCCACACUGGGACUGAGACACGGCCCAGGCUCCUACGGGAGGCAGCAGUGGGGAAUUUUGGACAAUGGGCGCAAGCCUGAUCCAGCCAUGCCGCGUGCAGGAUGAAGGCCUUCGGGUUGUAAACUGCUUUUGUACGGAACGAAAAGCCUUCUUUUAAUACAGGAGGGUCAUGACGGUACCGUAAGAAUAAGCACCGGCUAACUACGUG